CUUUGGGGUGUGACUGCGUACCUUUUGUAUAAUGGGUCAGCGACUUAUAUUCUGUAGCAAGGUUAACCGUAUAGGGGAGCCGGAGGGAAACCGAGUCUUAACCGGGCGUUAAGUUGCAGGGUAUAGACCCGAAACCCGGUGAUCUAGCCAUGGGCAGGUUGAAGGUUGGGUAACACUAACUGGAGGACCGAACCGACUAAUGUUGAAAAAUUAGCGGAUGACCUGUGGCUGGGGGUGAAAGGCCAAUCAAACCGGGAGAUAGCUGGUUCUCCCCGAAAGCUAUUUAGGUAGCGCCUCGUGAAUUCAUCUCCGGGGGUAGAGCACUGUUUCGGCUAGGGGGCCAUCCCGGCUUACCAACCCGAUGCAAACUGCGAAUACCGGAGAAUGUUAUCACGGGAGACACACGGCGGGUGCUAACGUCCGUCGUGAAGAGGGAAACAACCCAGACCGCCAGCUAAGGUCCCAAAGUCAUGGUUAAGUGGGAAACGAUGUGGGAAGGCCCAGACAGCCAGGAUGUUGGCUUAGAAGCAGCCAUCAUUUAAAGAAAGCGUAAUAGCUCACUGGUCGAGUCGGCCUGCGCGGAAGAUGUAACGGGGCU
rnacentral:rRNA from 1 species